UGACGAAAAUAGCAAACUUAUACGAAAGUUAAGGACGCAAAGCCACGGGUCUAACUGUCUAAGACACAGGAUCGCCGGGUUACCGAA
rnacentral:ncRNA from 1 species